CCGGCCCAAGCAAGGAGUAUGGAGACAGUCCUUGAAGGCGCUCUCCUCAACUUGGCCUUGCACCACAUCUACUGGAUAUUCAAUUUUGGCAUCACACUUUUAAUUUCUGAAAAAUGCAUUGUCUGAGACCCUACUGUUAUUUCAUCUACGCAAUAUAUUCUUGAGUACUUCUGAGUAUACUAAGUUCCCUUCUAUUCCCUAAGUUCUCUUUUUUGUCUUGGGCACAACUGAUGUGUUUAUGUUGGUGUUUCUCUUUCUUGCUGUAGGUUUUCCUCAAAUAUCUUGUGAUUUUUGGUUGUCUCUUCAGAUUUAAGAAUGAGCAAUAAACAGACCGACCAGGAACUCUGUGUAUGCAUGCAGGAUGUGUCAGCUGGCAGGCUUCCUCCAAGCUCAAGGAUAUGGGGCCUUCUAGGAUGGUGGGGAGCCCCAGGUGUUGAACGAGGAGGACCAUACUCUGGGUCACUAACCUCCACACUGGCUACCCUAGUUCGAACCCAAACAAUUCAUUCUAUUUUGUUAGAGAAGAGCCCUCCAAUUCUUUUCCCUGAGGGGGCUCAGCAAAGAGAUGCAGUUUGUACGUAUGAUCCUGAACAGGAAUUUAGAAUGAGAGUAACAUCUCCCAUUUGCUCUUCAAGGGACCCAUGUGAGGGAGGAGCAUUUUCAAGGGUAACCUUUAGAGAACUGGCCAGGAGCUACAGUAGCAAAUCUAGCUGAGUCAUCCUGAGGCAAGGA